AAAUUGAAGAGUUUGAUCAUGGCUCAGAUUGAACGCUGGCGGCAGGCCUAACACAUGCAAGUCGAACGGUAGCACAGAGAGCUUGCUCUCGGGUGACGAGUGGCGGACGGGUGAGUAAUGUCUGGGAAACUGCCCGAUGGAGGGGGAUAACUACUGGAAACGGUAGCUAAUACCGCAUAACGUCGCAAGACCAAAGUGGGGGACCUUCGGGCCUCACACCAUCGGAUGUGCCCAGAUGGGAUUAGCUAGUAGGUGGGGUAACGGCUCACCUAGGCGACGAUCCCUAGCUGGUCUGAGAGGAUGACCAGCCACACUGGAACUGAGACACGGUCCAGACUCCUACGGGAGGCAGCAGUGGGGAAUAUUGCACAAUGGGCGCAAGCCUGAUGCAGCCAUGCCGCGUGUAUGAAGAAGGCCUUCGGGUUGUAAAGUACUUUCAGCGAGGAGGAAG
rnacentral:rRNA from 1 species